AAUCUUUCGCAAUGGGCGAAAGCCUGACGCACCCAUGCCUCGUGAAUGAUGAAGUUCUUAGGAUUGUAAAAUUCUUUCACCGGGGACGAUAAUGACUCUACCCGGAGAAGAAGCCCCGGCUAACUUUGUGCCAGCAGCCGCGUUAAUACGAAGGGGGCUAGCGUUGCUCGGAAUUACUGGGCGUAAAGGGCGCGUAGGCGGAUGGUUAAGUCAGGGGUGAAAUCCCGGGGCUCAACCUCGGAACUGCCCUUGAUACUGGCGAUCUUGAGUAUGAGAGAGGUAUGUGGAACUCCGAGUGUAGAGGUGAAAUUCGUAGAUAUUCGGAAGAACACCAGUGGCGAAGGCGACAUACUGGCUCAUUACUGACGCUGAGGCGCGAAAGCGUGGGGAGCAAACA
rnacentral:rRNA from 1 species